UAUUUUUAAAGCGUAUGAUUAAUACACUUGCCUAUUGCUGCGUGGACUGUGC
rnacentral:sRNA from 1 species